rnacentral:antisense_RNA from 16 species
CGGCGCUUGAGGCUUUCUGCCUCAUGACGUGAAGGUGGUUUGUUACAGUGUUGUGUGGCAGAAGGACAAAAGCCCCGUAGUUAAUUUUUCAUUAACCCACGAGGCCUCUGCAUGUCUAGUCCACGUCAGUAUGGCCUCUUACCGUGCAAAUUGCAAGGAGGAGUAAACCAUG